rnacentral:rRNA from 1 species
GUGCUGGAAUUCGCCCUUAGAGUUUGAUCCUGGCUCAGGAUGAACGCUAGCGGCAGGCCUAACACAUGCAAGUCGAGGGGCAGCGGGAGUGCUUGCACUCGCCGGCGACCGGCGCACGGGUGCGGAACGCGUAUCGAAUCUGCCUCUAUCUGGGGGAUACCCCAUGGAAACGUGGAAUAAUACCCCAUAGUAUUACUUUAUCGCAUGAUUUAGUAAUUAAAGAAUUUCGGAUAGAGAUGACGAUGCGUAUCAUUAGCUAGUGGGUAAGGUAACGGCUUACCUAGGCAACGAUGAUUAGGGGUCCUGAGAGGGAGAUCCCCCACACUGGUACUGAGACACGGACCAGACUCCUACGGGAGGCAGCAGUGAGGAAUAUUGGACAAUGGUCGAAAGACUGAUCCAGCCAUGCCGCGUGCAGGAUGAAUGCCCUAUGGGUUGUAAACUGCUUUUAUACGGGAAGAAAAACACCUACGUGUAGGUGACUGACGGUACCGUAAGAAUAAGGACCGGCUAACUCCGUGCCAGCAGCCGCGGUAAUACGGACGGUCCAAGCGUUAUCCGGAAUCAUUGGGUUUAAAGGGUCC